rnacentral:rRNA from 1 species
GAUGAACGCUGGCGGCGUGCCUAAUACAUGCAAGUCGAGCGAACGGACGAGAAGCGGGCUUCUCUGGUGUUAGCGACGGACGGGUGAGUAACACGUGGAUAACCUACCUAUAAGACUGGGAUAACGUCGAGAAACCGGAGCUAAUACCGGAUGAUAUUGUUAACCGCAUGGGUCAAGAGUGAAACGGGGUCUGGCGGUCACUUAUAGAUGGAUCCGCGCUGCAUUAGCUAGUUGGUAAGGUAACGGCUUACCAGGGCAACGAUGCCUAGCCGACCUUAGAGGGUGAUGCGCCACACUGGAACUGAGACGCGGUACAGACUCCUACGGGAGGCAGAGGUAGGGAAUCUUGCGCGAAGGGCGAAAGCCUGACGGAGCAACGCCGCGUGAGUGCUGAAGGUCUUCGGAUCGUAAAACUCUGUUAUUAGGGAAGAACAUAUGUGUAAGUAACUGUGCACAUCUUGACGGUACCUAAUAAGAAAGCCACGGCUAACUACGUG